AUUAGAUACCCGCGUAGUCCCAGCCGUAAACUAUGCGCGUUAGGUGUAUCGGUGACCACGAGUCACCGAGGUGCCGAAGGGAAACCGUGAAACGUGCCGCCUGGGAAGUACGGUCGCAAGGCUGAAACUUAAAGGAAUUGGCGGGGAGCACCACAACGGGUGGAGCCUGCGGUUUAAUUGGACUCAACGCCGGGAAGCUCACCGGAUAAGACAGCGGAAUGAUUGCCGGGCUGAAGACUCUGCAUGACUAGCUG
rnacentral:rRNA from 1 species